rnacentral:rRNA from 1 species
UACAGAGGGGGCAAGCGUUAUUCGGAAUUACUGGGCGUAAAGGGCGCGUAGGCGGUUCUUUAAGUCGGAUGUGCAAUCCCCGAGCUCAACUUGGGACUGCAUCCGAAACUGGGCAACUUGAGUACGGGAGAGGAUAGUGGGAAUUCCGAGUGUAGGGGUGAAAUCCGUAGAUAUUCGGAGGAACACCGGUGGCGAAGGCGGCUAUCUGGACCGAUACUGACGCUGAGACGCGAAAGCGU